rnacentral:rRNA from 1 species
AGUGAACGCUGGCGGUAGGCCUAACACAUGCAAGUCGAACGGCAGCACAGUAAGAGCUUGCUCUUACGGGUGGCGAGUGGCGGACGGGUGAGGAAUACAUCGGAAUCUACUUUUUCGUGGGGGAUAACGUAGGGAAACUUACGCUAAUACCGCAUACGACCUACGGGUGAAAGCAGGGGAUCUUCGGACCUUGCGCGAUUGAAUGAGCCGAUGUCGGAUUAGCUAGUUGGCGGGGUAAAGGCCCACCAAGGCGACGAUCCGUAGCUGGUCUGAGAGGAUGAAGAGCCACACUGGAACUGAGACACGGUCCAGACUCCUACGGGAGGCAGCAGUGGGGAAUAUUGGACAAUGGGCGCAAGCCUGAUCCAGCCAUACCGCGUGGGUGAAGAAGGCCUUCGGGUUGUAAAGCCCUUUUGUUGGGAAAGAAAAGCAGCAGGUUAAUACCCCGCUGUUCUGACGGUACCCAAAGAAUAAGCACCGGCUAACUUCGUG